UUGGAUCUUUGCUUCCUUCUUCCAACUUCUUCCUUCCUUAGCACCAAAAACACAAAACUAGAUCAAAAUAGGUAGAAAAGAUUAUUAGGGUUUCUUUCAGGGCUUGAGGGGCUUAUGGGGGCAGAGGGUGAACAAACCCUAGCCUCCACAUUCCUUUAAAUGGGUAGCAAAGCCCGGGAGAUUAGGGUUUAAUCACCGGCCAUCAACACACCAUGUUCCAAGAGGCAACACGCUAUGUUGUACUUAAUAAAAGCCGUGUUUCCUCAUAUAUGGACACGUUGUGUUGGUGCCUCCAACAUGUUGUGUCAAAUCCUCAAAAGGUGAUUCAUUCCCAAAAUUGCUACUUAAAUUUUCGGGUGUUAUAAAGAAAUUUGGUAAAUAAGGUAAUUAGGAGGAUAUAAUACGUUAAUUAAUCAAUGAAUAUGCUUCAAACAAUUAAAGACCUAACCAUAUACGUUAAUCCAAACAUUUUGUUGAUUGGUAAACAUAUUUUAUUCAAAUUAAAAAAAAAAAAAAAAAAAAAAAAAAAAAAAAAAAAAAAAAAAAAACAUAAUCCUAUCCUUAUACCAUAUACAUUUCGGAAAAAAAAACAGGAAAGUAUCUUUUAAAAAUACUAAAAAUUAGCGAAUCUCAACAGUUAAGGGAGACAUUUUCCUAUUUACCUUAUUUAGCUAUUCCUCGGUUUAAUUCCUUAUUUUAUGUACGUGAACCCCAACAUUCAAAAGCAUACAACACUACUUUUCUUUCUCAUCUUCAUCACAACAAGUUCAAUAAUUUUGCAAUACAUACUAAAAAGAAACCAAGUUAGUUCAUAUUCAAAGGAUGGAUGAAAAGACCAAAAUUAUUUCGAUUUUUAACUGUAACUACAAUUUGUAUGUAUGUUACUCUGUCUAGGGUUGUUAAAUGUUCUCCAUAGUUUCAUGUUUCUGAAAUACUCUCGGUCCAAAUGAGAAAAAACUCUAUUUCUUCCAACCUCAACCUUUGUUCUUGCUAAUCUCAUUAUGUUUUUCUGCCUUUUAUUUGUUUAAACUUACAACGAAUAGCAACAUACUUUUGUUUUUCUACAUUUUUUUUUGUUUUAUUAUACUAAAAAGUACAAAUUUUGAAGAGUAUUUUUUGACACAUAUACAUUUGUCCAAAAGUAUGAUGCUAUUAAAUGUAUUGUGUUUCUAAGUGUGUAUUGAUAUAUGGUCCCUAUUUUGGACAAAUUUAAAGCAAUGGUUCCUUUUUUAACUAUUUACCAGAAUGGUCCUGAUUUCACAGCUUUACACAUUUGGUCCAUCUUAUAAAUAAUUACAUGAAUAGUCUUUCUUUUUAGGAAAAAUAACAUAUUUUGUCCCUUUUUGUUGUAUUUAAAAUAAUGUUGAUGUUUGGUUCAUAAAUUCAAAACUGUGAAUAGCAUCCUAUUGUAGACUUAUAUGUGGGGUGUUUAUUUGUGACUGUUGUUUCUGUAUGAGUAAUGGCAGAAGGUUCAUUUUUUGUUAUCUUUGAACCUUUGGUGUUUGAAUAUUAUUGAAAAAUGGUACAUGCCAGCAUCAUGAAGCAUAAAAUGUUAUUACUGUAAUAGUAUUGGUCCUUUACUAAAUACAUUUUUUGUUUGUAACUAUUGUUGUUGUAUGAGCAGGGGCAUAAUGGUCAUUCACCAAAAUUACUGAAUUCAAUAUAAUUGAAUUGAAGACAUUAAAUACAUGCAGAUAAUAUACUUUUCUGGUUGUUUCCAUCCCUGCGUUUUAGGCAUGUUAUUUGUUAGACAAAUAAUCACAUUAAUAUAAAAUGUAUUUCUUCCAUAUUUGUCAUUAUCUUGUAUUUAAAAAAAGUGACGCAUAAUAUAUAUUUUCGGAUUUAACGUAAUUUCAAAAUAUUGUAACCAUAUCUUUUGUGCUUAAUUUGUUCCUUUAGUUAGAAAAGAUUGUGAUUUCCAUUAAUUAAAUGAUUACAUAAUCACUAGAUUGUAUAAUAUAAAUCAUCAAACCUAUAAAUUGUAAAUUAAAUUGGGCAUCAAUUGUUUCACGCAAUCUUCUUUUCUUGUAUCAUAAUCAAACCCAUAGAUACAAAUAUAACUAUAAUCUUUUCUACUUUUCUCCUUUUCAAUCUGUAAUCGUUUAUAUUGUUAAUGUUUUUUUUUUCUUUCAUCUACUCAUGUGUAUGAAACAUGUUGUUUCAUAAUCACAAGUACAAACUUUAGCUUAAUCUUUUUCAUCUUUAUUUCUUUUCGAUGUGUACUCUUUAUAAAUAUGUUUUUUUUUUUUUUUUUUUUUUUUUUUUUUCUUUUUUUUUAAAAAAAAUUUUUUUUUUUUUUUUUUUUUUUUUUUUGCAUUUUUCAUAUUAUUGAAAAAAAAAAAUUUAAAAACAAUGAUGUAAUGAAUUCGUAUUGUAGCUUGAUUGUUUUCAUUAACAGAGUUGUAAAAAAUGAUUGUUAUGUCUAUAAAUAUAUUAUAAAACUUAUUGUCAUAAUCAUCUAAUUAUUUAUUUUAAGUUAUGUGUUCUUAACUUUAAAUGAACAUCAUUGUUUUCAGUUUUUUCCCUAUUUUUUUUUUUAAUUUCUAAUAGAAUAAAAAAUAAUUAAAGACACAUGGGCAUAAUGAUAAAUUCUUUUUGUUUGGGACCAUUACUAUAACUUUUUUGACAAUUUGUCUUUCUAAAAUUUCUUUGUUGUGUCAUAUAUUCCAUCCUGCUAACAUUAACCUUAAAAUAUGUAAAUUUUUUAGUUAGGCAUUGUACUUUCCAGUUACAACAAUGUACUUUAAAUGUGAAUUUGUUCAUAUUUUGACAAUUUACGUAAUCUUAAUUAUUUAUGUCGAGUUAAAUGAACAUCACUGUUUUCAUUUUUUUAAUAUGAAUUAUUUAUUACUUUAAAUGUUCUUUAGUAGGUCAUUAAUACGAUAGUUUUCUGGAAAAAAAAUUGUUUUUAGCAUUGAACUCUGUAAAAAAGUACACAAAUAGCAUCUUACCUUUGAAUAAUUAAAAAUCAAAGUAAAAAAUAGUUAAUAAAUAAAUAAUAAUAACUAGGGAAGUUGCCCACGCUCCGCAUUGAUCAGAAAGGGUUUGUUUUUUGUUUCAUUGUAUAAACGGAAUACAGUUAUUGCAACCAAACAUGUAAUGGAAUGAAAUCUUGGAUUACAAUCAUGCUAUAAUUCAUGAACCAAAGAAACCCUAGACGCAUAAAAGGACAGAUGAAUAUAAAUCAAACUUUACUUUCUUAUCACAUGUUCCAGUUAGUUGAUGGAGAGUGAAUCCAACAAUAUCAGCCCAUGUUGGACAAUCAACAAGAUAGAUAAAAUACAUUAGACAAACUACAUCUGGAGUUAAUAGGAACAACAUGAUCUGCAGCCAUAGUAGUUGGUGCGAUCAUUUUUAACAACAGAUCAUUUGUGUUCAUUUUUAAAUUGUGUUUAUUAGGCAAACUUAUGGUAAAACUUAAAAGACUCAAAGGAACUCACCAUUUUCCUUUUAACCUCUUCAAUCUCCUUUAGAUCUAAUAAAUUUACCUUCUCCUUAUUAUAUCUUUCCUUGUACCCAGGUUCACCCAAUUUUAUUUGUGAAAAAAAAUAAGGAAAAGUUAAAAUGGUUUAAUAUGUAACAAAAAAACAUAUAUUAGAAGUCUAUAUGAAUUUCGUAUAAACAGAAAACCCCAAUGACUUCAUCAGCUUGUUCGCCUCUUACAACAUGAACAUAAUGAAAAUCCCAGUUAGUUUCCAUAUCAUUUGGCAUGGUAUCUGAAUAACAAAACUAAGAAAUAAAGGAAAACUUAAGUACAACAAAUAUGGUAAAAUUAUAUUGUGUGAUUACUAAAUACACAAACUACAUAACAUAAUUGUCAAGAUUCAAAUAAUAUAUGCAAUAGUCGAUCUUGAUACACUUUUGAAUCAAGUUCUUUCCCAGGUAAGUGUAUUCCCAAUCAUAUAAACUGAACCAUUUAAUCACACAGGGGCAGAAAAUGAAAAAGAACACAAGGUAAAUUACGUAUACUUUGCUAAUAACACCAAUAGUUGUUGUACCUAUAUUUAACAGAAAAAAACUAAAAUCAUUUUCCAUGUAAACAUCAUAAAACCAAAAGGUUUUUUUAUUACUCAGAAAAGCUUUUAUGACAUUUCAUGAGAUUUUGUCAACAACUUAUUUCAGAUUAACCACUUAUUGCAAUGAUUUAAUUAUUUUUGAUUUUACAUUUUUACCUCCUUCAUCAACAACACCAACAUCAGGCUAAUUCUCAAACAAAUGAGCCUACCCUGUCUCCAAUAACAUUUUUUUGAGAUCUAUCUACACAUACCCCAAAAAAGUAAUAUCAAUCUCGUGUGACUUCAUUUCAUAACAGACAUACACAUACCUGUUCGGGAGAUACAAUCGAAAGUUUUAUUUGGAGAUUAAGUGAUGAAGAUGUAGAGAGUUCAUUGAGUUGAAGGGUGGCGAAUUUCUGAAUGGCGGAAUCAACUGUUGAAGCCAUGAAUUAGGAAAUUGUGAGUAAAAAAUAAACCUUAUCUAGGGCACCGCAAGAUAUCAGGUGGUUUCUUCAUCGCCAAAGGACCCACAUCAAUCAAAACCUGAAAUUAACCUUUUUGAAUAGCUUCUUCUCAAGAAACUUGAGCUUCCUCAUCUUCUUCUCGACUUACACUGAGUAGUGGAGCACAAUAAGUGGAGGCAAUAGAGAAUUGGGUCUUAUCUAUUUUAUUUGUUUUUUUUUAAGG
rnacentral:lncRNA from 1 species